UAGGGAAUCUUCCGCAAUGGGCGAAAGCCCGACGGAGCAACGCCGCGUGAGUGAUGAAGGUCUUCGGAUCGUAAAACUCUGUUAUUAGGGAAGAACAAAUGUGUAAGUAACUAUGCACGUCUUGACGGUACCUAAUCAGAAAGCCACGGCUAACUACGUGCCAGCAGCCGCGGUAAUACGUAGGUGGCAAGCGUUAUCCGGAAUUAUUGGGCGUAAAGCGCGCGUAGGCGGUUUUUUAAGUCUGAUGUGAAAGCCCACGGCUCAACCGUGGAGGGUCAUUGGAAACUGGAAGACUUGAGUGCAGAAGAGGAAAGUGGAAUUCCAUGUGUAGCGGUGAAAUGCGCAGAGAUAUGGAGGAACACCAGUGGCGAAGGCGACUUUCUGGUCUGUAACUGACGCUGAUGUGCGAAAGCGUGGGGAUCAAACAGG
rnacentral:rRNA from 1 species